UACGUAGGGCGCAAGCGUUAUCCGGAAUUAUUGGGCGUAAAGAGCUCGUAGGCGGUUUGUCGCGUCUGCCGUGAAAGUCCGGGGCUUAACCCCGGAUCUGCGGUGGGUACGGGCAGACUAGAGUGCAGUAGGGGAGACUGGAAUUCCUGGUGUAGCGGUGAAAUGCGCAGAUAUCAGGAGGAACACCGAUGGCGAAGGCAGGUCUCUGGGCUGUUACUGACGCUGAGGAGCGAAAGCAUGGGGAGCGAACAGG
rnacentral:rRNA from 1 species